rnacentral:misc_RNA from 1 species
AAAAAAAAAACCCUUGCUAUCUGGCUUCCAAAUCAACUUAUCAUUCUAAAAUGGACAUAACCUCACUGAGCUUAGAAUGACAAGAAGUCGAGCCAACCUUUACAGUUCCCACUCAAAGAUUCCUGCGCCAAGAGAAAUUCCACUCCCAAACCCCAUCCACCCAGUCUCCCAACUCAUUAACAAAUGCAUUCAGGUUGGAAGCUAGGUUGAAAAGCCUAGCAAAGGAAAAUUUCAGUGGGGAAUUUGAUGUCCAGACAUCGUGCCAAAUUCUAACGCCCUUACCCUCACCAAUAGCAAAACUAACAUGCCAUAAGGCUGAGAAAUUGGAUCCACCUGAAUGCGCAGAUUUUUGAAUUCUAGACCAUAAAGAUGAAAUUGAAUUACCCAAAGCGAAAGGAAGGUAGCCCAAAG